GCACCAACAAAUUCCAUAGUACUGUACAACAGGUGAACUAAUAGACAUGUAACUGCAGAUAGGCGAGCUGGAUGCACAGGAACAGACAGUAUUAAGGGCAUGAAUACCAAUCAAAGAUUACCUCCUUUUACAGAGGAGUGUGUAUGGUACAGUGCUUUAAGACGGAUAAAGUGAUUUACAGGCUGCUCAAUACACUUAUGUGAAAAUAUCCUCUAUUCCACAAGAUAAGGUUAAAAUUAUUGGUGUGGUUUAAGCUAUAAACAAACUUAUACCAAUAAGUGGAGCGCUCCAACACAAGUACAGCUUACCAAAUG